AGUCCGGCGGUGUCCUACUCUCCCACAACCCUUCGGUUGCAGUACCAUCGGCGCUGUCAGGCUUAGCUUCCGGGUUCGGAAUGGGACCGGGCGUUUCCCUGACGCUAUGACCACCGAAAC
rnacentral:rRNA from 1 species